rnacentral:rRNA from 1 species
GUCAAGUACAAAGAGCAUCGGGUGGAUGCCUUGGCACUGGGAGCCGAAGAAGGACGUGAUAAGCUGCGAUAAGCUGCGGUAAGGAGCACAUAUCCGAUAUACCCGCAGAUUUCCGAAUGGGGGAACCCACAUACGGUAAUGCGUAUGUAUCAUUAAGUGAAUACAUAGCUUAAUGAGGGGAACGGGGUGAACUGAAACAUCUAAGUAGCCCUAGGAAGAGAAAGAAAAAUCGAUUUCCUGAGUAGCGGCGAGCGAAAGGGAAAGAGGCCAAACCAAAUUGUUUACAGUUUGGGGUUGUGGACCACCAACAUUGACGAAGUUAUGCGAGCCGAAUAGGGUUGGAAAGCUCAAGCAGAGAAGGUAAUACUCCUGUAGGCGAAGCAGAAAGCGCAUAGGUGGCACCAGAGUAGGACCGGACACGUGUAACCCGGUCUGAAGCAGGAGGGACCACCCUCCAAGCCUAAAUACUACCCAGUGACCGAUAGCGAAUAGUACCGUGAGGGAAAGGUGAAAAGAACCCCGGGAGGGGAGUGAAAUAGAAUCUGAAACCUGAUGCUUACAAGCAUAGGGAGCGCAAGUGACCUAGUACUUUUUGUAGAACGGGCCAACGAGUUAUGGUAUGUAGCGAGGUUAAGUUGCUGGAGCAACGGAGCCGUAGAGAAAUCGAGUCUGAAUAGGGCGAGAGUUACAUGCUGUAGACCCGAAACCGGGUGACCUAUCCAUGAGCAGGUUGAAGUAACCGUAAAAGGUUAUGGAGGACCGAACCUAUAUCUGUUGAAAAAGGUUAGGAUGACUUGUGGAUAGCGGUGAAAUUCCAAUCGAACUCGGAUAUAGCUGGUUCUCCUCGAAAUAGCUUUAGGGCUAGCCUCAAGGUAAAGAUACACGGGGGUAGAGCACUGACUGUUCGCGGGGCCUUCACCGGUUACCAACAACUAUCAAACUCCGAAUACCGUGGUAUCAUACUUGGGAGUCAGACUAUGAGAGAUAAGUUCCAUGGUCGAAAGGGAAACAGCCCAGAUCAACAGCUAAGGUCCCAAAGAGUAAGUUAAGUGGAAAAGGAUGUGGGAUUGCACAAACAGCUAGGAUGUUGGCUUAGAAGCAGCCAUACAUUUAAAGAGUGCGUAAUAGCUCACUAGUCGAGUGAUCCUGCGCCGAAGAUAAACGGGGCUCAAACUUACCACCGAAGCUUUGGAAUUAGUAUAACUAAUUGGUAGAGGAGCAUUCUAUACAGGUAGAAGGAGGCGCGUAAGCAAAUCUGGACGGUAUAGAAGAGAGAAUGUUGGCAUGAGUAGCGUAAGGCGGGUGAGAAUCCCGUCCGCCGAAAAUCUAAGGUUUCCUGAGGAAGGUUCGUCCUCUCAGGGUAAGUCGGGACCUAAGCCGAGAGCGAACGCUGUAGGCGAUGGACAACAGGUUGAUAUUCCUGUACCACCAAGGAUUGUUUGAAUGAAGUGGGGACACAGAAGGAUAGAUUGAGCACGCCGUUGGUUGAGCGUGUCCAAGCAGCAAGGCUUGAAAGUAGGCAAAUCCGCUUUCUACAAGGCUGAGCUGUGAUGGGGUGGUCGAAUGACCGGUAGCAAUCGAUUUCACGCUGUCAAGAAAAGCCGCUAAUGAGAUCCAAGGUGCCCGUACCGCAAACCGACACAGGUAGAUGAGGAGAGAAUCCUAAGGUGAGCGAGCGAACUAUUGUUAAGGAACUCGGCAAAAUAACCCCGUAACUUCGGGAGAAGGGGUGCCUGCUUCGGCAGGCCGCAGUGAAGAGGUCCAGGCAACUGUUUACCAAAAACACAGGUCUCUGCUAAAGCGAAAGCUGAUGUAUAGGGGCUGACGCCUGCCCGGUGCUGGAAGGUUAAGGGGAAGUGUUAGGGCAACCGAAGCACAGAACUUAAGCCCCAGUAAACGGCGGCCGUAACUAUAACGGUCCUAAGGUAGCGAAAUUCCUUGUCGGGU